rnacentral:rRNA from 1 species
GACGUAGGGCGCGAGCGUUGUCCGGAUUUAUUGGGCGUAAAGAGCUCGUAGGCGGCUACGCACGUCCGUUGUGAAAUCGCUCGGCUCAACUGGGCGGGGUCAGCGGAUACGGUGUAGCUGGAGCAAGCUAGGGGGCAAUGGAAUUCCCGGUGUAGUGGUGGAAUGCGUAGAUAUCGGGAGGAACACCAGUGGCGAAGGCGGUUGCCUGGAGCUUUGCUGACGCUGAUGCGCGAAAGCGUGGGGAGCGAUCCGG